rnacentral:rRNA from 1 species
GAGGAAUAUUGCACAAUGGGGGAAACCCUGAUGCAGCGACGCCGCGUGGGUGAUGAAGGCCUUCGGGUCGUAAAGCCCUGUCGGAGGGCAAGAAAGGGUGAGUAGCUAAUACCUGCUCACAUUGACGGUACCCUCAGAGGAAGCACCGGCUAACUCCGUGCCAGCAGCCGCGGUAAUACGGAGGGUGCGAGUGUUAUUCGGAAUCACUGGGCGUAAAGCGAACGUAGGCGGAUAGGCAAGUCAGAUGUGAAAUCCCGGGGCUCAACCUCGGAACUGCAUUUGAUACUGCUAGUCUUGAGUAUGGUAGAGGUAGGUAGAAUUCCCGGUGUAGAGGUGAAAUUCGUAGAUAUCGGGAGGAAUACCAGAGGCGAAGGCGACCUACUGGGCCAUUACUGACGCUGAGGUUCGAAAGCGUGGGUAGCAAAC